UUCAGUCCUUUGAUUUACUGUCCAGCUUUUUAUGGUGUACUUUUAUUAGUGAACUGUUUUGCUGGUAAAUGCGGAUAAGCUGCAAAAAAAAAAUGUACGAGGUGUACGUAUAGAACAGAUUAGCUUUCUCUCCAGGCUUAGUAGAUGGAGUGCCUGUUUCAAAUACACCAUGACAGCUGCUGAUCCAGACAGCAAGAACGAAUCAAAAAGACGGCACUGCGCCAGGACUGAACUAUUCACAAGUGCAGGAUGAGUAUAGCUUGCUGGGGGUUAAUUGCACAUUGCGCUGCUUUAUAUAUAAACAUGUGGUUUUGCCUCUGGUGAUGUGAAGUUUGUGUUUUAAACAGUGCCAGCUUAACCGUUCACAGGAUCUGCAGAACCUUUGAAAACACAGCCCACCUGUGAGAAGGCUUACUGGAACAUGGCAGGGAGACAUUCACAUGGGCUGGAUGCCAGUUCUUCAGCCAGGACUCAGAUGGCAGCAUACCAGGCCGUAGCUGGAAUUGGCAUGAUGGCGGUAAACAAGGUGCGAUAAAAAUCACUAGUGUGGAAGGAAGGAAAGCAACGCCACGACGCUCGUGUUAUCGGGUUCAUCGGAGAGCGAGACAGGAGUUGUUCUGAGGAGGGGUUUCCUCUGGAUACUCUGGUUUCCUCGCCCAGGCCAAAGACAUGCGUUGCAGCCUGAUUGGUGUUUCCAAAUUGUCCACAGUGUGUGAACAGGUAUGUGAACGUGUGUGUGAGUGUGCCCUGUAAUGGGCUGGGUGUUCCCUGCCUUAUGUCCCGAGCUCCCUGAGAUAGGCUCCAGACUCCCCGGCAACCCUGUGUAGGAUAAGUGGUAUGGAUAAUGGAUGGAUGGAUGG